rnacentral:rRNA from 1 species
CAGCAGCCGCGGUAAUACGAAGGGGGCUAGCGUUGCUCGGAAUUACUGGGCGUAAAGGGCGCGUAGGCGGACAGUUAAGUUGGGGGUGAAAGCCCGGGGCUCAACCUCGGAAUUGCCUUCAAUACUGGCUGUCUUGAGUACGGGAGAGGUGAGUGGAACUCCGAGUGUAGAGGUGAAACUCGUAGAUAUUCGGAAGAACACCAGUGGCGAAGGCGACUCACUGGCCCGUUACUGACGCUGAGGCGCGAAAGCGUGGGGAGCAAACAGAAUUAGAUACCCUGGUAGUCCACGCCGUAAACGAAUGAGUGCUAGUUGUCGGCAUGCAUGCAUGUCGGUGACGCAGCUAACGCAUUAAGCACUCCGCCUGGGGAGUACGGUCGCAAGAUUAAAACUCAAAGAAAUUGACGG